AUGUGAUCGUCUCUCGCAUAUCAAUAAGCGGAGGAAAAGAAACUAACAAGGAUUCCCCUAGUAACGGCGAGUGAAGCGGGAAGAGCUCAAAUUGAAAUCUUAAAGGGUUUCCCUUUACGAAUUGUAGUUUAAAGAAGUGUUUUCUGUUGAGGUUUUGGUAAAAGUUCUUUGGAAUAGGACAUCAUAGAGGGUGAGAAUCCCGUAUUUGACCUUUACUUUCAACUUUGUGAUACACUUUCAAAGAGUCGGAUUGUUUGGGAAUGCAGUCCAAAAUGGGUGGUAAAUUUCAUCUAAAGCUAAAUAUUGGCGAGAGACCGAUAGCGAACAAGUACCGUGAGGGAAAGAUGAAAAGAACUUUGAAAAGAGAGUUAAACAGUACGUGAAAUUGUCAAAAGGGAAGCGUUUGACACCAGUGUUGUUUUUCUGAAAAUCAAUUAAAGAACUGUUUAUGCUAAGCUGUUUAGACUUAUCAGCUAUCUGUUUAGUUUUGAGCUUUUCUUUAAUGCACUUUUCAGUUAACAAGUCAACAUCAAUUUCUUUUGCUGUAAAAAAGCUUGAGGAAGGUGGCUUGAGAUUCGUCUUAAGUGUUUAUAGCCUCUUGCCUAUGCAGUCGGAGAGAUUGAGGUCUGCAGCGUAGAUCCUUCGGGGCUAAAUGCAUUUGUGCUAAGUUAUAGCAUUUUAUAGACAACUUGUUGACUAUGAUUUGUCUCGUAGCUUACUCGCUUAUGUUAUUUUACCUACGCUUAGGAUGUUGAUCUGUAGUGCGUGCGC
rnacentral:rRNA from 1 species